CGCAGGAUGAGGCUGUGAAGUACGUGGAAGGGCAGGCAAUGCAGCACCUGAAGAGGAUUCAGGACCAGUGGA
rnacentral:snRNA from 1 species